GUGACAGGCUGCUGGAGGUGGAUGGCUGUAACCUGCGUGCCGUCACACACAGGCAGGCGGUAGAGUGCCUGAAGAGGACGGGGGAGGUAAUGACAUGUGUUUGCAUUACUUCUGAGUGGUACAAUCACAACCGUUUAUGUAACUGGAUAUGAUUGAGCCCACAGUAGGUCACUAACACCCAUGUUUCGGAUAUUAUGUAAGACAGUUACCUUUUUUUUUCAUAUAUAAAGUGAUAGAUUUUUUCAGUGAUGUUUUUAUACAACUUAUAUACUUUUUAUACUACUACAUAUUUUGACAUGUGAGUCAGUUCAGUCUUGAGUAACACAGCACUUACAUUAAGUUUGUUUUUGUAAAUAGUUAAAAAGCAGUUAUUUUCAUUUAAUCUUAGCUGACAUUUUGAGAAGUAACUGCUGUAAGAUGUGAACUCUAGUACAAGGGCGAGCCGAAGGUCACAUUAUGUCUGAAGGGCCUGUGCUCCUCUCUUCAGCAUGUCAGUUGCUUUAGGAAAACAACAUCAUCAACCCUUGUGUCUUCCGGGUUCUCAGACAGCACAAAAGAAAGAUCUGAAGUGAAAGCAUACGUGUUGGUCGUUAUUUUUGUCUGGGCUAAUAAGAUUUUCUGGGGUAUGACGCUGAGCCCUGCGUCGUUAUACUGACACACUAUUACACUUAAGCUGACCAGCCACACUAUCUUCAGCCACACGCACUGGUUAGGUAACAGGCCUUGUGUUAAGAAGACUGAUGACGUGAGUAUGUUCACUAUAGGUGUGCAUCCAGAAAGAUAAAUUAAGAAGGCAUGUUGCUUUAAUGACGGUGUAAUUUUCAGGUGGUGAGCCUGGUUCUGGAACGAGAGCCUCCAGUGGUGCUGGACACUUACAGUGUCUCAUCCACGUUGGAGAGACAGAGAUCUCCUUCACCCCUCAGUGUGCAAAGCACGCCCACGCCCCUGAGGAGAGAUGUGACCAUGGAAACGCCCUUGUCUGUCAGGGCCAAAGACUUCAGCUUUGUGCCAGAUGAUAACAUCCUGGAGGUGACGCUACAGACGAGUCUCAGUAGCCUGGGGUUCAGUUUCAUCAUAUCUGAACUGGGUCCAGAUGAGGGCAGCAUGGUGCAUAUUAAGAGCCUUUCUUCUGGUCAGCCUGCAGGGGAUUGUGGGCUUCUGAAGGAGGGAGACAUAAUCCUGGCUGUCAAUGGAGAACCUGUCAGAGGCCUUUCCUAUGAGGUAAAGGAUAUAUUAUUUAUAUUUAGCAUUUCAAAAUAUCAAAUAUCUUAAUGAAGUACUGAGA
ensembl:lncRNA